rfam:Amphiamblys sp. WSBS2006 Amphi_5, whole genome shotgun sequence.
GUCCGCGUAGCGUAAUGGUUAACGCGUUUGACUUCUAAUCAAAAGAUUGUGGGUUCGAGUCCCACCGUGGAUA